rnacentral:rRNA from 1 species
GUUGAGCGCUGAAGACUGGUACUUGUACCGGUUGGAUGAGCAGCCAUUAAGUGACUCACGCGUGGGUAACCUGCCCUAUAGAGGGCCUUUACUAGAGGAAACUUUAGCUAAUACCGCAUAAAAUCUAAUAACACAUGUUAUAAGAUUGAAAGUGCCAACUGGUACACUAUAGGAUGGACCCGCGUUGUAUUAGCUAGUUGGUGAGGUAAAGGCUCACCAAGGCGAUGAUACAUAGCCGACCUGAGAGGGUGAUCGGCCACACUGGGACUGAGACACGGCCCAGACUCCUACGGGAGGCAGCAGUAGGGAAUCUUCGGCAAUGGACGAAAGUCUGACCGAGCAACGCCGCGUGAGUGAAGAAGGUUUUCGGAUCGUAAAACUCUGUUGUAAGAGAAGAACACCAGUAAGAGUGGAAAGCUUACUGGCUGACGGUAUCUUACCAGAAAGCCACGGCUAACUACGUGCCAGCAGCCGCGGUAAUACGUAGGUGGCAAGCGUUGUCCGGAUUUAUUGGGCGUAAAGCGAGCGCAGGCGGUUCAUUAAGUCUGAUGUAAAAGGCAGUGGCUCAACCAUUGUAAGCAUUGGAAACUGGUGAACUUGAGUGCAGUAGAGGAGAGUGGAAUUCCAUGUGUAGCGGUGAAAUGCGUAGAUAUAUG